CGGGGCGUGGCGCAGUAUGGUUAGCGCGCUACCAUGGGGUGGUAGAGGUCCCCGGUUCGAGUCCGGGCGCCCCGACCA
rnacentral:tRNA from 10 species